AUGAAAUCGCGGAAUAAAUUAAUGUCUUAAACCCUCAGUCUUUUCCGCUCCUACGGUCCCGUAACCACUUUUGCGGGACCGCUUCUGCGCCCUUACGACCGCUUCUACAGUUUUUCAUCAAAUCUCGGCCAUCCGCUUUUGCGCUCUAACUUCCGCUUGUACGGACCUCCUUCUUCCGCUUCUGCGGCUCUCCUUUCGCUUCUGCGGCUCUCAUUCCGCUUCUGCGGACCCGCA
rnacentral:lncRNA from 1 species